CCUACGGGAGGCUGCAGUCGAGAAUCAUUCACAAUGGGGGAAACCCUGAUGGAGCGACGCCGCGUGGGGGAAUGAAGGUCUUCGGAUUGUAAACCCCUGUCAUGUGGGAGCAAAUUAAAAAGAUAGUACCACAAGAGGAAGAGACGGCUAACUCUGUGCCAGCAGACGCGGUAAUACAGAGGUCUCAAGCGUGGUUCGGAAUCACUGGGCGUAAAGCGUGCGUAGGCUGUUUCGUAAGUCGGGUGUGAAAGGCGCGGGCUAAAACCGCGUACGGUACAUGAUACUGCGAGAAUAGCGUAAAGGAGGGGGAACCGGAAUUCUCGGUGUAGCAGGGAAAUGCGUAGAUAUCGAGAGGAACACUCGUGGCGAAGGCGGGUUCCGGGACAUUAACUGACGCUGAGGCACGAAGGCCAGGGGAGCGAAAGGGAUUAGAUAACCCAGUAGUC
rnacentral:rRNA from 1 species